GCCUCGUAUCACCGGCGACCUUCGUAUCUCGGGACCCUACGGAGGCUCGGUACGCGGGAAGAUCAGAGGUGGCCUUGGAGGAUCUCUCUCUCGUGGCCUCAAAGGACGCCUGGACGGAGCUUUCGAAACAGUUAGCCCCUUCAGCGGCCGGAGGACAAGCCGCGUGAGCUCCUUGAGGGGCGCCUUGAAAGCUGGCCGCAAAGGCUUCGGCGGGAGUCUGGCUGGACGCGCGGAGCGACGCGUGGAGAACGUGUUUGGGGAGACGAUCGGACUGCGCGGGUACGAGGGAGGAAUCCAGGGAGGAGUGGAACUCCCCGUCAUCGCUGACCACGUACAGGUCAGGGUUGUUGGAUCAGAUAUUGGACAAUGCGCACUCCUGCCGCCCUUGUGUGUGUCUGCCACUGCAGAGCUCAACACCGUCUGCCUGUUCUCCUUUGACGUCACAUCAGGAAGAUGUGUCAAGACACAUAUCGCAGACACCUGUCAAGGCUACGGCAACAUCUUCAACUCACUGAGUGAAUGUGAGGCCUUCUGUCGACCUAUCAUCGUGUAAAUUGCCAAGCUUGUUGGUGAAUAAAAAUAAUAUGAAUAACCAGGGAAGACAGAAAGCUAAGAGUGUGUACAUCAUUUGAAACCCUUAGCAACAGAGGUACUGGGUUUCGGAUAUAGGUAAUGAUGUCGCUUUAAAUGACGUACGGAUAUCAGCUAAAGAUAAAGAAUAGAUCUGUUAGAUUGCACACUCCGCUCGCGGGGGGUUUCCAAGUAUUGAGGCGAUGUGGUGUAGAGGAAAGAACUUUCCUAAAGGAAGAAUGUGAUAAUGAAUUCUUAUUGUUGUUGUUCUUUGGAGUUCGUUAUUUUACGAGAAGGUUCACACUGACGUCAUCGUGUUUGUGUGUGCUAAGAUAGAAUGUUUACAAUUUAUUGUAUUCUUUACCCUCUUCCCUAAGAUUAAAAAUGACCUAUGACCCUCCCAAGAAAAGAAAAACAGUAAAAAAAAA